rnacentral:rRNA from 1 species
GACGAACGCUGGCGGCGUGCUUAACACAUGCAAGUCGUACGGUAAGGCCCUUUCGGGGGUACACGAGUGGCGAACGGGUGAGUAACACGUGAGUAACCUGCCCACAACUUUGGGAUAACGCUAGGAAACUGGUGCUAAUACUGGAUAUGUGCUCCUGCUGCAUGGUGGGGGUUGGAAAGCUCCGGCGGUUGUGGAUGGACUCGCGGCCUAUCAGCUUGUUGGUGGGGUAGUGGCCUACCAAGGCGGCGACGGGUAGCCGGCCUGGGAGGGUGACCGGCCACAUUGGGACUGGGAUACGGCCCAGGCUCCUACGGGGGGCAGCAGGGGGGAAUAUUGCACAAUGGGCGCAAGCCUGAUGCAGCAACGCCGCGUGCGGGAUGACGGCCUUCGGGUUGUAAACCGCUUUCAGCAGGGACGAAGCUUUUUGUGACGGUACCUGCAGAAGAAGCACCGGCUAACUACGUG